rnacentral:rRNA from 1 species
GACGAACGCUGGCGGCGUGCUUAACACAUGCAAGUCGAACGGAAAGGCCCUGCUUUUGUGGGGUGCUCGAGUGGCGAACGGGUGAGUAACACGUGAGUAACCUGCCCUUGACUUUGGGAUAACUUCAGGAAACUGGGGCUAAUACCGGAUAGGAGCUCCUGCUGCAUGGUGGGGGUUGGAAAGUUUCGGCGGUUGGGGAUGGACUCGCGGCUUAUCAGCUUGUUGGUGGGGUAGUGGCUUACCAAGGCUUUGACGGGUAGCCGGCCUGGGAGGGUGACCGGCCACAUUGGGACUGAGAUACGGGCCAGAGUCCUACGGGAGGCAGCAGUGGGGAAUAUUGCACAAUGGGCGGAAGCCUGAUGCAGCAACGCCGCGUGCGGGAUAUCGGCCUUCGGGUUGUAAACCGCUUUCGCCUGUGACGAAGCGUGAGUGACGGUAAUGGGUAAAGAAGCGCCGGCUAACUACGUG